UGAGCAAUCUGCCCCUCUCUUUGGAAUAAGCGUUGGAAACGACGUCUAAUGCCGAAUACGACCUCCUUUCGCAUGAUUGGAGGUGGAAAGCUCCGGCGGAGAAGGAUGAGCCCGCGUAAGAUUAGCUAGUUGGUGGGGUAAAAGCCUACCAAGGCGACGAUCUUUAGCUGGUCUGAGAGGAUGAUCAGCCACACUGGGACUGAGGACACGGCCCAGACUCCUACGGGAGCAG
rnacentral:rRNA from 1 species